AGAGUUCGAUCCUGGCUCAGGAUGAACGCUGGCGGCGCGCCUAACACAUGCAAGUCGAACGGCACCUAUCUUCGGAUAGAAGCGAGUGGCGAACGGCUGAGUAACACGUGGAGAACCUGCCCCCUCCCCCGGGAUAGCCGCCCGAAAGGACGGGUAAUACCGGAUACCCCGGGGUGCCGCAUGGCACCCCGGCUAAAGCCCCGACGGGAGGGGAUGGCUCCGCGGCCCAUCAGGUAGACGGCGGGGUGACGGCCCACCGUGCCGACAACGGGUAGCCGGGUUGAGAGACCGACCGGCCAGAUUGGGACUGAGACACGGCCCAGACUCCUACGGGAGGCAGCAGUGGGGAAUCUUGCGCAAUGGGGGGAACCCUGACGCAGCGACGCCGCGUGCGGGACGGAGGCCUUCGGGUCGUAAACCGCUUUCAGCAGGGAAGAGUCAAGACUGUACCUGCAGAAGAAGCCCCGGCUAACUACGUGCCAGCAGCCGCGGUAAUACGUAGGGGGCGAGCGUUAUCCGGAUUCAUUGGGCGUAAAGCGCGCGUAGGCGGCCCGGCAGGCCGGGGGUCGAAGCGGGGGGCUCAACCCCCCGAAGCCCCCGGAACCUCCGCGGCUUGGGUCCGGUAGGGGAGGGUGGAACACCCGGUGUAGCGGUGGAAUGCGCAGAUAUCGGGUGGAACACCGGUGGCGAAGGCGGCCCUCUGGGCCGAGACCGACGCUGAGGCGCGAAAGCUGGGGGAGCGAACAGGAUUAGAUACCCUGGUAGUCCCAGCCGUAAACGAUGGACGCUAGGUGUGGGGGGACGAUCCCCCCGUGCCGCAGCCAACGCAUUAAGCGUCCCGCCUGGGGAGUACGGCCGCAAGGCUAAAACUCAAAGGAAUUGACGGGGGCC
rnacentral:rRNA from 1 species